UUUCAGGUGUUUGCUGAUAGUCUGAAUUAGUAUGAAUUAACAAAUGUAUUUUUGCAUUUGGAAAACAUUUUUUUCAUAUAUAUGAAAAACAUGAAUAUAAUUGAUUUUAACAAGAAACGAAAUUAACAUGCUUAAUCUAAAUGAACAGAAUGCUAACAUGCUGAUGUUUACUAUAUUCACCAUGUUAGUUUAGCGGGACGAGCAGGCUUUUGUUAAUCAGCAGGAAGGAUGAAGUACAGCUGAGGGCAAUGUGUUGCACACGGUGAUAUUUUGACAAUGCCAAAGGAGCUACAUAAUUAAUUCUGAGAAUAUUUAUACCAAAUGUAAUCUGAAACAUCCAAUAUUCACUAAAACACAAACGUUUUCUUGUUGCUACAGUCAAAGUCAGGGGAUAGUGGAUAGAAAACUUUCAACCGGUAGUAUUCGUAGCAUGUUGAAGUUGUUUUAAAGUCACAGACGUCAACAAAUGAAUGACUUUUGGUUAUUAGGUUUGUUAGAAAUGGGACAAUAGUCAAGGAUGUGCACCGAUAUUCUUCUUCAAAGCGGUGGGGAAAGACUGCGAAUGAUUAUAACACGUUUUACAAUAAGUGCAUUUCAACCAUAAGGAUACAAACUCAGAAGAACAAGAAACAAGAAAGUACAAUUUCAUCAAACAAGAGAGAACAAUGAAUACGUUCAGGGGCCACGGCGACAAAAAAAUCACUAAGAAUUACUGACUGGAAUGAGUUGUUGUUGAUACUUUCCUCCAGAGCAUUGCUCACUAUAUGUGUAGGGCUAUAUAUGCAUAUAGGUGAGCUGUAUAUACUGUAUAUAUAUAUGCAUAUAUGUCAGCUGUAUAUACUGUAUGUAUGUUUGUGUAUAUAUAUAUAUAUAUAUAUAAAUGUGUAUAUAUAUAUAUAUAUAUAUAUAUGUGUGUGUAUAUAUAUGUGAAAAGUGCUACAAUCCCCCUCAGAACUUGAUAGCUUCAGCAGUAGUUUAAAAUCAGUAGAGCUCUUAUUGUUAUUCUGAAAGUCAUCUCCUUGGUGUUACUCCAUUGAUUUGUGUUCUAUUUGUGACUUUACUAGGAGGACACAUUACAAGGGAUUGUUCUGUCACAGUUUUUACUCUUUGCAACAUGACGCAAUUUUCCGGUUGCAGAAAGAUUCAACGACACACUUGUUGUCCAUUGUCUCAUUGUCUUACUGUCCCAUGUUAUUAAAAACAUGUUUGAAAAUGCUUUGUAAUACUGAAAGAUGAAAUGAAUUUUUUAAAGACUUCUGAAAAUACAGAAAUAAGAAAAACUAAAAUUAAUUUGAAAGAAUUGCCAAAAAUACAGAAAUGAGAAAAGCUGGAAUGAAUUUGGAAAAUUGUUGAAAGUACAGGCAUGAAUAUCAAAACAUUGCUGAAAAUACAGACAUUAGAAAAGAGGAAUUGAAGCGGAAAUGAGCAAAAAUUGGGGGAAAAGUUUUAAAAACUGGCCUUUUCUUUAACACACAUUCAUGAAUGUGCUGCUUGUCAGUUUUAGAUAUUUUAUUUUUUCCGCCCAACCCCACUUGCCCCGUUUCUGCUGCCGGACACCUUUGGUUAUGGGCGUCUAGGAAUCCUCUUACAAUUUUUU
ensembl:lncRNA